ensembl:lncRNA
CAUAUAUAUACAUACAUAUAUAUAUAUAUAUAUAUAUAUAUGCAUAUAUAUAUACAUAUAUAUAUAUAUAUAUAUAUAUAUAUAUAUAUAUAUGCAUAUAUAUACAUACAUAUAUAUAUAUAUAUAUAUAUCCAGGCAUUCAUUUUUGAUCAGAACUGAAAAAAAGAAAAUUCAUCUGUCUUCAAAUGAAGGAUGAAGCUCCAGGCAUACGUGGCAAAUUCUUCCCAGGAGUCAUUGCGUGUUGCGUCACGUCCUCCUUCUUCAGAGUGAGCAGACACAGCACGAUAGCAGACACAGCACGAUGGCAGACAAUCAGAAUGUCGAGCAACUGAUCCUGAAUGAGCUGAACAGCCUGACUGCAGAGCAGUUUAGCAGUUUCAAGUGGCAAAUACAACGCAGGACGACUAUACCUGCAUGCGAGCUGGAGAUGGCAGUCCGGCAUAGAACUGCCGAUCUGCUGGUGCAGCAUUACCCCCAUCAGGCCGUGGUCUUCGCCAUUGAGUUUUUUACGGCCAUCGGCAGGAACGAUCUGGCUCUGCAUCUGCGUCAGCAUCAGGCUGAUAUCGACAUGGGAGAUCUGAGAUGACGGGUCUUUGCCUGAAGCUCCGGAAGCAUCGUAACGCUCUCAGCUCCCACAGCGCCACGUUCAUCAGCACAUUUUCAAAUCAAAUCACUUUUAUUGUCACAUUACAUGUGUCACAUUACACUGGUACAGUACAUGCGAGUGAAAUUCUUGUGUGCGAGCUUCACAAGCAACAGAGUUGUGCAAAAAUACAUUAACGUAAAACAAGCAAAAUAUAAGAAUGGCUAAAUCUGAAAGUAAUAAAUAUUUCUACAAUAUAUAAGAGUGUAUGCAUUACUGGAUGUGUAUACGUGUAUAUGUUUUUCUAUGUGUGUGUGUGUGUGUGUAUACAUAUUUUACAAAUCAAAUAGAGUAAACAGCAAAACAGUGGCAUUAAUUUACAGUAUGGAGUGCAUAAUGUUGAAGUUCUGUUAAGUGCUGUGGAGAUCUUCUCCCUCUAUAAUGAUGAAUAAAGCACAAUUACAAGAAAACACAAGAUUCAAAAUAGUGUAACUGUACAAAAGCAAACACUUAAUUCAGGAUCAGAACUGAGCAGAUUAAAUGUCCAAGCUCAUUCAAAAAGUCCCACACAGGUUAAGAAAAGCAACCAACUUGGAACAAGGGCAAUUGCGAAGAACUCCCCACGGUGAUCGAGAUGACGUCGAUGCUUGAUGAAUCCAAAGGGUCACGGCACCAGUGUAACCCGUUCAAGUGUUACGCCUGUUGUUGUUGCGUUGUGUUCUGGCGUGAAAGUAAGAGGCAGGAGACAGUACUGGAUCUUUGGCUCUUUACUGCACAAAUGCAACACAGAAAUAAGUAUAAUAAAUAAUAUAAAUUUAAUUAUUAUUGCGAAAUAUUAUUUCGUGGUCAUUAUUUUUCACAAUAACAGAGUUAUUGUAAUAACAACUUGUCCUGUGAACAACACCGGCGUGGUGUUAAUUGUUU